rnacentral:lncRNA from 1 species
UCCUUCAUCUCUUGUCAUGAUGUAUUAUGAAGGUGAGUCUACCACAAAACCUUCUUCGUUCCAUUGCUAUCUCAAGUAGACAUUCAGAUAUUGCAGCUCCUGUACAAGCCACUGAUAUCUCAAAGGUUUGUUUUAUGUAAUUGUUUAGAAAUUUUGCACAUUUGUUUGCAUGUUUCAAGAACAAUUUGAUUCACAUUUUGCUCAGAUAUGGGUUCCUUCAAAUCCAAAAGGAGCUGAGAGAUUACCACCCGGUAUUAUUGCAUCCGAGUCAGACUUGUACUUGCGCAGGUUUUGGGGGAACCCUGAAGAGGUUUGAUUCUCAAACAUGCAAUCUCAUUCUUGGAUUUGCAGUUUAUUUUCUUCUCUCUGUUUCCUCAGAAUUUGAAAAAGAAACCGAGAUAUCUAGUAACAUUUACAGUGGGUUACAAACAGAGACAAAACAUAGAUGCAUGUGUUAAGAAGGUUGCUUCCUGUCCUUUUUGUUUUUUUUCUAAAAAAAAAAUUAUUUUAAUGGUAAUCUCAUCUAUGUUUUGUUUUCCUUUUUUUUUUGAACACCAUGUUUUGUCUUCCUAAAAACAGUUUUCGGACAACUUUACCAUUGUUCUGUUUCAUUACGAUGGAAGAACAAGUGAGUGGGAUGAUGAAUUUGAGUGGUCGAAGAAUGUGAUACACAUCAGUGUUAAGAAGCAGACAAAAUGGUAUCAAUAGCUUUGCUUAUACCUCUCUAUCUUUUGCCCCUAGUUAUAUGAGUUUCUUGACUCUCAUAUAUAUAUAUAUAUAUAUAUAUAUAUGUUGUGAAUAUAUAAGGUGGUAUGCAAAGAGAUUCUUGCACCCUGACAUUGUAGCGCGAUACGAUUAUAUAUUCAUGUGGGAUGAAGAUCUUGGAGUCGAUCACUUUGACGCAGAAAAGUGAGUUUUUUUUUUACUCUCACUUCCAUUAUCUUUUAUCUUAAUUAAUAAUAUAAGUUUAUUGUUGCAGAUACUUACACAUGGUCAAGAAGCAUGGCCUUGAGAUUUCACAGCCUGGUUUGGACCCAGAGAUAGUGUGUACAUGGAAAAU